CUGAUCAAAAAUCCCUUCAGCAUCUGAGGAAGACAUCAGGACCAUGCUGGUAAGGAACAGGAACUUACAGCAGAAAAAUAAGGAUGUGGAAACUAAGGUGUCAGAACUAACAAAUGAAAGAAUCCAGUGAGCAGAAAAGGAACAGAAAUUCCUCCUAAUCUGAGACAGUCUUUCUAUUAUGUCACUCUGACUGUUCUGGAACUCACUACAUGGACAAGACUGGCCUUGAACUCAGAGAGAUCCACCUGUUCUACUUCCCAAAUAUUGGGGGUCUCUCUACAUAGCUCUGGCUGGUCUGAAAUUUGCUAAUAGUUAACCUGGCCUCAAUCUCACAGAAAUCUGACUGCCUCUGCCUUUGACACUGAACUUCUGGGAUUAAAGUUAUCCACCCUCACAGAUUGUGAACGUUCUCUGAUUUUUUGA